GAUGAACGCUGGCGGCGUGCCUAAUACAUGCAAGUCGAGCGAACGGACGAGAAGCUUGCUUCUCUGAUGUUAGCGGCGGACGGGUGAGUAACACGUGGAUAACCUACCUAUAAGACUGGGAUAACUUCGGGAAACCGGAGCUAAUACCGGAUAAUAUUUUGAACCGCAUGGUUCAAAAGUGAAAGACGGUCUUGCUGUCACUUAUAGAUGGAUCCGCGCUGCAUUAGCUAGUUGGUAAGGUAACGGCUUACAAAGGCAACGAUGCAUAGCCGACCUGAGAGGGGGAUCGGCCACACUGGAACUGAGACACGGUCCAGACUCCUACGGGAGGCAGCAGUAGGGAAUCUUCCGCAAUGGGCGAAAGCCUGACGGAGCAACGCCGCGUGAGUGAUGAAGGUCUUCGGAUCGUAAAACUCUGUUAUUAGGGAAGAACAUAUGUGUAAGUAACUGUGCACAUCUUGACGGUACCUAAUCAGAAAGCCACGGCUAACUACGUG
rnacentral:rRNA from 1 species